GUGCUUGCUUCAACAGCACAUAUACUAAAAAAUUGGAACGAUACAGAGAUUAGCAUGGCCCCUGUGCAAGGAUGACACACAAAUUUGUGAAGCAUUCCAUAUUUCU
ensembl:snRNA U6 U6 spliceosomal RNA